CUGGUUGAUCCUGCCAGUAGUCAUAUGCUUGUCUCAAAGAUUAAGCCAUGCAUGUCUAAGUAUAAACUAAUUUAUACGGUGAAACUGCGAAUGGCUCAUUAAAACAGUUAUAGUUUAUUUGAUAGUACCUUACUACUUGGAUAACCGUAGUAAUUCUAGAGGUAAUACAUGCGCAAAAACCCGACUUCGCGGAAGGGUUGUAUUUAUUAGAUAAAAAACCAAUGCGGGUUCGCCCGGUUGUGGUGAGUCAUAAUAACUGAACGAAUCGCAGUGCCUUUUGGCGGCGAUGAAUCAUUCAAGUUUCUGACCUAUCAGCUUCCGACGGUAGGGUAUUGGCCUACCGUGGCAGUGACGGGUAACGGGGAAUUAGGGUUCGAUUCCGGAGAGGGAGCCUGAGAAACGGCUACCACAUCCAAGGAAGGCAGCAGGCGCGCAAAUUACCCAAUCCUAACACAGGGAGGUAGUGACAAGAAAUAACAAUACAGUGCCUCAUAGGUACUGUAAUUGAAAUGAGUACAAUUUAAAUCCCUUAACAAGGAUCAAUGGCCCAAGUCUGGU
rnacentral:rRNA from 1 species